rnacentral:rRNA from 1 species
AUGUUAGGACAGCUUAAUCCGGAUUCUGAAGCAAUGAGUACCUGUAAAAAGGCCAGGGCGGAAUCUACAUCUGUUGUGAGUUCAGACAGACUGAGCAGUCUACCUCCAGAGAUAAAGGGCGACAUCCUCUCCCGUCUGAAUGUCGAAGAGGCGGUUAGGACUAGCACCUUAUCAAGUACUUGGAGGGAUGCAUGGACUAAUAUGCCAAAAAUAUUUCUGCGCGAUGGAAAUUUUGCAAGAACCAAGUUCGUCACAUUAGUCGAUAUGGUGCUAUCACUCCACAAGGGAACUGUAGAGAAGUUUGAUAUUUCAGGUAGCAAACCUUACCAUGACGAGUUCGGCAGGUGGAUGCUCAUGCUUUCUAGGAGAUCACCAAGAUCAAUUAUAAUCGAGUUAAAAUCAGUGCCAGGUUAUAGGAUUCCCUCAUGUCUAUUUUCUAUCGGUGAUUUGGAGAAUCUGCACCUGCAAAACUGCAUCAUCAGCUUGCCCCGGGUAUUCCAAGGUUUCAAGAGAUUAACUCGCCUCAGACUGAACAAUUUCUCAUCUACAGACAUGGACAUCCAAAAUUUGGUCUCGUUCUGCCCCGCACUGCGUUCUUUGAGACUAACUUAUUUUGAGGGCAUUAACCAUCUAACCGUUCAAGCUCCUAAACUGAAACUUCUUUAUGUCAUUGGGGACGUUGAAAUUAAUUUGGAUGCACCUAAUUUGGAGGUGGCUCUCUUAAUGCAUCACAAAGCUAUAGCACCUCAUUCUGAUCCAAUUGCGCUUCACAAGGAAAGCUAUGUCAAGCAGUUAUUGGGAAGCCUAAGUGACAUCAAAAGCUUUGCAAUUAGCGGCUUUUUGCUGAGGUAUUUAUCAAAAGGUUGCAUACUUACGAAGCUCCCUGCCCUGUUUGCUCGCCUGGAGAAUAUUUAUCUUGCAAUAUGCUUUUUGGACCAGCGGCAAUUCUUGGCCGCUUGUUCAUUGUUUCAGAAUGCCCCUAACUUAAAGAGGCUUGAUGUUGUUCCAAGUCACUCUUCAAACACAUGGGAUCAGGAUCAGGCGAGGAUUAAAGAGUUUACCAUGCAAGUGCAAUUGGAUCAUCUCGUAACGGCCAGUGUGCAAGGUUUCAAGGGUCUGGACUGCGAAGUCGAUUUCGUGGCAAAGCUACUGAGCUGGGCACCAGCUCUGGAAGAACUGAAGAUAGAAUGGAAGGGCAAAACAGAGUGCAGCAUGGUUCUUGCCAAGUUAUUAGCUCUGCCGAGGGUGUCUCCCAGGGCCAAGGUCAUUGUUACAUUUUGA